CCUACGGGCGGCUGCAGUGGGGAAUAUUGGACAAUGGGCGCAAGCCUGAUCCAGCCAUACCGCGUGGGUGAAGAAGGCCUUCGGGUUGUAAAGCCCUUUUGUUGGGAAAGAAAUCCAGCUGGCUAAUACCCGGUUGGGAUGACGGUACCCAAAGAAUAAGCACCGGCUAACUUCGUGCCAGCAGCCGCGGUAAUACGAAGGGUGCAAGCGUUACUCGGAAUUACUGGGCGUAAAGCGUGCGUAGGUGGUCGUUUAAGUCCGUUGUGAAAGCCCUGGGCUCAACCUGGGAACUGCAGUGGAUACUGGACGACUAGAGUGUGGUAGAGGGUAGCGGAAUUCCUGGUGUAGCAGUGAAAUGCGUAGAGAUCAGGAGGAACAUCCAUGGCGAAGGCAGCUACCUGGACCAACACUGACACUGAGGCACGAAAGCGUGGGGAGCAAACAGGAUUAGAUACCCCAGUAGUC
rnacentral:rRNA from 1 species